rnacentral:lncRNA from 1 species
CAGGGGCCAUAUUUCUUUUGUAGGGAAACUUUAAUAUUCCUCUGGCCUUGUAUAGCUCUUUUUUUUUUCUUCUUCCUGAAGCUGGGCCUCUGCUAGCUGCUUAUUAAGUAUUACCAAACAGUUAUUACAGCAAAGUUAACACUUUGAUUUAGCACCUGACAAAACGAAGCCUAUUUGCUCCCAUUUCUUCAAGCUCCUCUAGGAGUUUGAGGAAUUUUGCAAAGAUGAGGGAACCCAUUUGCAAGACCAAAGAGUAAAAGCAUUCAAGGUCACUUAGUUGGCACUCUGCCAGGGGCUGGAGAUAUACAGAUUAAAAAUAUAGUCCCUGUCCUCAAGGAGUUUACUGAAGAAAUGAGCAAAGACAAAAUGACUUCAGGGAAUGAAGAGGUAAAGGAAGAUUGGAACUGAAAGAACAUUGCUUUGGCACCUGAAGUCUUGGGUUUGAAUCCCAGCCCUACCUCUAGCUGCAUGGCUUUGGGGAAUUUCCCCCCCAAAGAAGAGGCUGGGCCGCAGGACCUUGAGCACAUAUUCCACUGGGGGUCUGGUCUAUUGUCAUUACAUGGUAGAAAGCAGCUUCUUUGACUGGCAAAAAUGGUGGAGCUGGAAUGGGAGAGGCAGGUGCCUUCAAAAAGUCCCGAGUUGGCUUGGGAUUAGAUGAGGAAACGGAGCCCAAGGGAGGUGAUGGACUUGGCCACGAUCAAGUAGGAGUAAGUGUUGGACUGAGAUUUGAGCCAGAUGACGAGAGAUGGACUCCUUGUGGCCAAGAGCAGGUGAGCAGAGAGAGUGUCAGCAGAGCUGGGAGGAACUGAGGUAGCCGAACCUGAAG